GAUGAACGCUGGCGGCGUGCCUAAUACAUGCAAGUCGAGCGAACGGACGAGAAGCUUGCUUCUCUGAUGUUAGCGGCGGACGGGUGAGUAACACGUGGAUAACCUACCUAUAAGACUGGGAUAACUUCGGGAAACCGGAGCUAAUACCGGAUAAUAUUUUGAACCGCAUGGGUCAAAAGUGAAAGACGGUCUUGCUGUCACUUAUAGAUGGAUCCGCGCUGCAUUAGCUAGUUGGUAAGGUAACGGCUUACCAAGGCAACGAUGCAUAGCCGACCUGAGAGGGUGAUCGGCCACACUGGAACUGAGACACGGUCCAGACUCCUACGGGAGGCAGCAGUAGGGAAUCUUACGCAAUGGGCGAAAGCCUGACGGAGCAACGCCGCGUGAGUGAUGAAGGUCUUCGGAUCGUAAAACUCUGUUAUUAGGGAAGAACACAUGUGUAAGUAACUGUGCACAUCUUGACGGUACCUAAUCAGAAAGCCACGGCUAACUACGUG
rnacentral:rRNA from 1 species